GUCUAUGGCCAUGCCACCCUGAACAAACCCGAUGUCUGAUCUCGGAAGCUAAGUAGGGUCGGGCCUGGUUAGUACUCGGAUGGGAGACCACCUAGGAAGACCAGGUGCUGUAGGCA
rnacentral:rRNA from 1 species